AUUGAACGCUGGCGGCAUGCCUUACACAUGCAAGUCGAACGGUAACAGGUCUUCGGUUGCUGACGAGUGGCGAACGGGUGAGUAAUACAUCGGAACGUGCCCGAUCGUGGGGGAUAACGAGGCGAAAGCUUUGCUAAUACCGCAUACGAUCUACGGAUGAACGCGGGGGAUCUUCGGACCUCGCGCGGGCGGAGCGGCCGAGGGCAGAUUAGGUAGUUGGUGGGAUAAAAGCUUACCAAGCCGACGAUCUGUAGCUGGUCUGAGAGGAUGAUCAGCCACACUGGGACUGAGACACGGCCCAGACUCCUACGGGAGGCAGCAGUCGGGAAUUUUGGACAAUGGGCGAAAGCCUGAUCCAGCCAUGCCGCGUGCAGGAUGAAGGCCUUCGGGUUGUAAACUGCUUUUGUACGGAACGAAAAGCCUCUUUCUAAUAAAGAGGGGUCAUGACGGCACCGUAAGAAUAAGCACCGGCUAACUACGUG
rnacentral:rRNA from 1 species